CACAGAAUUUGUUCGGGAUUGAAUGCUCUUCUUAAGUCCCAGAAGGAUGAUACAUUUUGCAUUUAUCAGGAAGCAGAUUAAAGGCAAUGCCCCUUCUUGCCCACCCACUUGGAACAGAUAGGCCAUCCAAAUCACAGACAGAAUCACUGUAUCAUUCAGGCUUCAAAUCCUCUUAUGAAACGUUUUAGAGUAAUUCAUUCCAGUAAUAAUUACAUUUAUUUAGGGGAAAAAUAAUUUAUCUUGGCAUCAAGUACACUGAUUCUCCAGCACACAAUGCCAGCAAGCAGGUACCCCCCAUUGUGAGGCCUCUUGACAUCCGGACUCAGCAUUCCUUUCCCGAAUUGCCGAGUCCCCUUGUUCAGAUUUUUGCCCAAACCUGGUUAGCUCUUCAGAGAAGGCAAUGGCACCCCACUCCAGGUACUCUUGCCUGGAAAAUCCAUGGACGGAGGACCCUGGUAGGCUGCAGUCCAUGGGGUCGCUAAGAGUCGGACGCGACUGAGCAACUUCACUUUCACUUUUACUUUCAUGUAUUGGAGAAGGAAAUGGCAACCCACUCCAGUGUUCUUGCCUGGAGAAUCCCAGGGACGGUGGAGCCUGGUGGGUUUCCGUCUCUGGUGUCGCACAGAGUCGGACACGACUGAAGCGGCUUAGCAGCAGCAGCAGCAGCAACACUACUUAUGAUCUGGGGUUGCUAGGGUUGCAAGGGCAGUGGCCAUUGACCUGAUCACUGGAGCAGCAGAGCCUUGUGGGGUCUCCGAGGCGUGGGAAUCUCAGAAACCGUGGUUGCCAUGGACCCGCUCCCUUCCCCCCAUUGCUUCGAAUCAGUCUAGGGCGUGCAUCUGAGAGGCAACCCAGAGCAGGCAAGCUGGGGGCACGGGGCCAGGGAUUGGCUGUUGCCCUUGCGGUCUACCUUAGAUCUCGCCCUGAGACCAUCACCUCCUACCCAGCAGCUUGGAUAUGCGUUGCCCAAUAAUCUUGCCGCUCUGCUCCUGAUUGGGCGCCGUCGCCUUCCACCCCGCCUUGCUAUCCGCCCCACCAGGAGCCGCUAAGCGUUUCCAUUGGUCAUCAGCCCUGCCGAUCAGUCCGUAGCUUACCUCCCCCAAACAGCCCGUCGGGCGAGCGCGUGCUAGGGAGGCGGGGCCUCACGUUUGGGGGUGGGGCUGGGGCGGGGCCUCGACGGAGGCCGGCGCAGCGGCAGCUUCAGGCUCUAGCUCUCGGACUCAAGCGCAGCAUCCUCGCUGCGGCUACGGCUGCUGCACCUGGUCAGCACCACGACCACCGCCAUCAACAUUUCUCUUCCUCCAUCAGAGCUCUUCAAGUUCUGCAAAAGCAGACUCUGUUCAGGCAUGUAAGUGUUGACCCCCAAAUAAUAAGCAAUGAGCUUGCCCCACCUGAGGCCAGAGCCAAGUACUC
rnacentral:lncRNA from 1 species